AGGGGCCACUUUGCCAAAAUUGCAAAAUUGGCCCAAGAUCUUUCAGCAGCAGCGUUUGUCCAUUAUCCCCAAAACCCAAGCACCGGAACACCGAUUGGGAUUUUGGGAAUGCGUUGAAUUUCUACCAAAAACCCUAGAAAUUUGCCUGUAGAUUUCCAUGGCACCAACGAAUCACCAAGGAAACAAGCCCUCCUCCGGCCUCCCACAGUAUCCUCCGCCCUUUCCUUCACAUCAUUCCACCAGAAAACGCCUCCUCGACGGCUCUCCUUUGAAUUCAACGUCGUUUGAAUCGUCCUCGUUGGAUCGAUUACCCAAGCGGAUAACUCGAGACCUACCCAAUUUAUCCGACUGCCAUGGCUGCCGGACUCGGGUCAACCACACAAACCCGAAGGAUCGACUCCAAACCCUAGACAGCUAUUGGCGAAUCGUCCUCCUCUGUAAGAAGUGUAUCAAAUUUGUCAGUUCCGCACAAAUAUGCUCCUACUGCUUUAAGGAGACCGUGAACUUGGAUUGUUUCACAUGCGGCCGCUGCAAAAGGUGUAUCCACAAGGACUGCGUUCUGAGGUAUGAUCAUUCUAGCCCGUGGUCUUAUAGCUGUAAGGAGAGAGGACCGCAAUUGGAAUUCUCAGUUUGUAUAGAUUGUUGGGUUCCUAAGUUGCUUAAGAAUUCUAAAGUUUGUACGAGUAUUGAUAAAUCACUGUCAAAACCGCCUCCUACUGGGACUCAUUCUAAGGUUUCUUUGAAUGAUAAUGAUGCCAAUUCAUUGCAAAAGUUCACAACUGAUGCGAAUGCUGAGGCCAAGAAGAAGAAUUUGGUUUCCACUAAAGAAAAAGAGAAGGGUUUAAGAGAAGUGGUGGCAGCAAAAAGUGUGAUGGACAUGACAAAGAAUGCAAUGGAACUAGCUGCUAACAAUGAAUUGAAUGGUGACAUAAAUGGUGGGUUGAUUGUUAGUAAUAGUAUAAGUAGCAGUAGCAGUAGUAGUACUAAUGGUGCUAGUGCUUCAAAGAAUGACAAUGAUGCAAAAUUGGUUUUUCAAUUGCAUAGUGCUAUAAAUAGUUCUCCUCGGAUUUCAAAAGAUUUGCACUUGACAAACACAGACAAUUUCCCUGUUCCGAAAGCUAUGGAUUGGAAGAGUUUAAUUAGUAAACCAGUGGAGUUAGGCAAGACUCCUCAGUAUGGUGAAGGUGAGAAGAUUGUGGUGUAUAGAAGAACUAGACUAAGAGAAAAAAUUAGUGCGAGCAUGUCAGAAGCUUCAGUUUGUGCUAGGGACAAUGAGAUUGGCUCUUCUAUUGAUUUGUGCCAGACAGAUGCCAAGUUAAUAGCCAUUUCAGGGGCUUCAGUUUAUGCCAAGGACAAAGACACUUGUUAUUUUGAUUUGGGCAGGAUUGAACAUAAAGUAAAAACGUAUAAGAGGACUAGAUUCAAGAGGAAAGAGCUCCAUGUAAAUGACAGGGAUGAUUUCUUUGUUAGUGUUGUUGAAAAGUGCAAUUUUGGUGGUGGCAGUAGAGUGGUUUCUGAGUCUCAGUCUUGUCAGCACGAUGAUUUGACUCAGGAGGCACAUCAGUGUGAACUGAGGAUUCCAUUCCCAGUCAAAUGUGAUGGUGAUGUUACCUUGCAGACUGAGAGAUGCAAUGCAAAGGAGGGCCGUUACUUGUUAAAAUACUCCAGAAGGUGUGUAGUUUCCAAACCAGGGUUAGAUCAUGAAACUAGUAUGCAUGGUGAUGCUUCGACUCAUGAGUUGCAUUUGUAUGAAGUGAUCAUUCCCUGCCUGGUGAACUGUGAUGGCAAGGUCACCUUGCAGAACCAAAGCUGCCGUGAGAAGGAUGAUCGCUACUCAUUGAAAUACUCCAAGAGGCGGCGCAUAGGUCCCAUACCAGAGUUCCAGACCAAAGCUGCAGUGUGCCAAGCAACUAUUCCUUGCCUGUUGAAGUCCGAAGGCAAGGUUAACUUGCAGAAUGAGAACUGCAAUAUGGAGGAGGGCCGCUACUUAAUAAAAUACUCCAAGAGGCGCACUGGUUCCAAACUGGAGUUAGAUCAUGAAAGCAAUAUUCAUAAUGAUGCUUUGCACCUUCCAGAAUCUGAUCCUGGAUUACCUAGGAAACAUUUUGUAGAAUCUAGGACAUCAUCUAAUGCUUCAAUGAUAUCCUCUGGUGCCAGUGUACAGGCUUGUGCUUGUAUAAAUGUUUCCUCCCCAAAGGAUCUCUAAGUUAGCUAGGGAAACAUUGACUGGCACAUCAUAAAAUCACACUUAACCAAGAUGCAUGGACAGAUCAUUGGUCAGCAAUGAGACCUUUGUUUAGAUGGUGAGGUGCAAGUUGCUUUGAUUUGCUUCCUAAUGGUUCCAAAGGAAAGAUUGCUUCUUAUUGCCUCUACUUGCGUAUCUUUAUAGGAUUUGAUGAAAUUGGGGGAUUCUGGCUUGGCAGAGUUUGUUCUCAAGCUAUGUAAUUACUUGACAGAGUUUCACUGCUGUUUCAUACUUGAAGAGUUGUUAAGCCAAGUAUUUGCAUGCAACACUUUGCAAGGGUUUUGCUUUGUUUGACAACUUGGAGGUAGAUGCAACUGAGGACCGUACACUAACUGACAUGCUUCAAAGAACUGAAUAAAUAUUUGAUUUUCUUUUUUCUUCUAGCUGAGACAGACCUUGUUCUUUCUAGGGUUUGUAAAUUUCUUGUUGAGUUCAUAUGGCUUAAUUACAUUUGUGCUUAAUAAAUAAUACAUUGCCACCUGUAGGGAUUACUCAUUUUACCUCAUUGUAUACUAUUAUGUGCAUGAUAGAUGUAGAUACAUAAUGCUUUAACCUUGUGUACUGGGUUCAAAAGUGUCAUUAGUCAAUAUGAAAGGCAGAAAGCCUUGGUAAGUUUAUGCAUCACAGCAUAUUAUUUUAGUGGAAAUGGAAGGGAAUAUGCUGGUUUGGACUCCUGUGCUGCUUGUGUGAAGGCACAAAGGAUGCCACCAUAAAACAAAAGCUUCUUCUGAAUUUAUUUUAUUGAAAUACUGAGGAGAUUGUGCUCUCUAUGUGGAUUCCACACUCCCCUCCAUUAAUUAUUGAGCAGUCUUACUUUAUUGUGUGGUUUCCACACUCCCCAAUUUUUUAUUACAGCACUAGAAUCCUGGAAGAAUAUUUUUCUAUAUCCAAAUGCUUUUCUACAUAGAUGGCCAUAAUUCCAAUAAGGUGUCUGUUUAUGUAGAUUUUUACACCCUGCCAUUUUCUCCAUGCUAUAUAUACCCCCUCUUAGGAAGACUAUGCUCACAUCAAGCAAUCUAUCUUCUUCUCUAUAGUUGUGUUGAUUUGUUUGCUUUUUCUUACUAUACUCACUCAUUUUACUUCAUGGAUGCCCAAAUUCAGAUUCCAAUUCCUAAGGAUGCUGCCAUCCAGAACCAGUGCCAAGAACCUCAAGAAAAGGAGGUUGAUUAUGCGCAAAGGGCGCAGUGGCUCAGAGCUGCAGUGCUGGGAGCCAACGAUGGAUUGGUUUCUAUUGCGUCAUUGAUGAUGGGGAUUGGGGCUGUUAAAAAAGACGUAAGAGCAAUGUUUCUUGCAGGUUUUGCAGGACUAGUUGCCGGGGCAUGUAGCAUGGCAAUCGGGGAGUUUGUCUCUGUGUACUCUCAGCUAGACAUCGAAGUGGCUCAAAUGAAAAGAGACAAAAGAGUGCAACAAAAUGUAGAGGAAAGCGACGAUUCAGAGAAGGAAGAGAAGGAAAAUCUGCCAAAUCCAAUUCAAGCAGCUUUGGCAUCAGCCCUUGCAUUCUCGUUUGGAGCCAUGGUUCCUUUGAUGGCUGCUGCAUUCAUAGCAAACCAUAAGUUGAGGUUGGUUGUGGUGAUUUGUGCAGUAAGCCUAGCGUUGGUCGUUUUUGGCGUGAUUGGAGCAGUGUUGGGGAAGACUCCUGUGGUGAAAUCUUGUGCCAGGGUGCUCAUAGGAGGCUGGAUGGCUAUGGCUGUCACAUUUGGACUCACCAAGCUUGUUAACUCUGCUGGAUUAGAAAUGUGAUUGUUCACUUUGUCUUUUCACUAUCUUUUGUCUUUUCCUUUUGCUUUGCUUCAUAUAUGUAUACACAAUCAGAUUUCAAUAAUGUCAGAUAAUGGUAUUUGUGCCC